GGCUGUGUGUUCUAGUGGAUUAUGAUUUCUCGUUCACAAGUUUGUGCACUUGAUCCCGAGAAGGUCGCAGGUUCGAGCCCUGCCACGGUCA
rnacentral:tRNA from 1 species